GGAAGUUAAAAAACUGUUUCUUAACUUUUAACUAAAAAGGCUAAGAACUGGUUAUUAAAAUUCUUAUUUAAAAACCGGUUCUUAACUUUUUUAUUUAAAAGUUAAGAAAUAGUUUUUUAACUUCC
rfam:Brassica napus, WGS project CCCW01000000 data, contig: 13713